rnacentral:siRNA from 1 species
AUAUGGAUUGCAUGACCACAU